CCACAUUAUAAAAUCAAAUCUGUGAAAUGUCAUGAGUUUAAACUUCAUCCAUAGCAAAUAUUGACUUUGGGAGGGAAAUUACAGGCGGUCCAGCAUCGACAACUAGUUUGAAAACUUUUUGUCAAAGCACCUUAUUUUUCUUACUUUACAAAAAAAUCACAUUUCCUUCGAAUUGCUCUAUAAAAUCCUGCUUCCAAUACCAUUUUAGAAGCACUAGUGUACAUUUUAUAAUGCUUUUCAAAUAUAAUGCUUUUCGAAUAUCUACUUCUAAAUUCAUUAUACAGAUGCAUGAGCAAAUGAAAGGGUUAGUUAUGUGAACAGGUUUUGAUUGGAGUUAAUUUA
rnacentral:misc_RNA from 1 species